AGCGAACGCUGGCGGCAGGCCUAACACAUGCAAGUCGAACGAACUCUUCGGAGUUAGUGGCGGACGGGUGAGUAACACGUGGGAACGUGCCUUUUGGUUCGGAAUAACUCAGGGAAACUUGUGCUAAUACCGAAUGUGCCCUUCGGGGGAAAGAUUUAUCGCCAUUAGAGCGGCCCGCGUCUGAUUAGCUAGUUGGUGAGGUAACGGCGCACCAAGGCGACGAUCAGUAGCUGGUCUGAGAGGAUGACAAGCCACACUGGGACUGAGACACGGCCCAGACUCCUACGGGAGGCAGCAGUGGGGAAUCUUGCGCAAUGGGCGAAAGCCUGACGCAGCCAUGCCGCGUGAAUGAUGAAGGUCUUAGGAUUGUAAAAUUCUUUCACCGGGGACGAUAAUGACGGUACCCGGAGAAGAAGCCCCGGCUAACUUCGUG
rnacentral:rRNA from 1 species